ACUGAGCAGAGACACGGGGGGGCUUCAGUGCCACUGGCACAGCCACCUCCAUCCCGCACGCCUCACCGUGCCAGAGUGGUCACCCCUGCUCUGGCUCCCAUCCACGUCCCUGCCAGCUGCCACCCUCCUCCUCUUCUGCCAGCACAGCCCACGAUGCGGCAGUGAAGCUGGCGGGUGCAGUACCUUGGAGCCGGGCUCUGCGCUGUGCUGGAACUCAUCUCCAUGCCAGGACAGUGAGUGCCUGCAGAGGGAUGGGGUAGUGAGGGGGAGCUCCCUCUGCGUGCUCCUGGGGCACCCAGGGAAGCAUCAGGAUGCCCUGGAACCAGCAGACCCCCAUGUCACCAUCUGGGAAGCAUCCCAUGGGGGUGCCCAGCAUGGUCCUGCUGGUUUCAGCAUGGGGGACUGCUCUGGAGGGGAGCACCAGGGCCCAGCACCCAGCACUGCUCAGGGAUCCCACAAACAAGCCAGCAAAGCACAAGGACAGCCCUACCUCCGGGACAGCGAAGCCAUGGGGCUGGGAAUGGGCCGGUCCUUUGCCGAGUGCUUCCCUGCAGAGCCCUGGCAUUCCUGGGAGGGAAGAGGAAAGCGGUGACAGCUGCAAGAGAGGCAGUCAGGAGGCACCAGGUCUGCCCAUUUCCCUCCGCUUGUGUCCAGCCUCCAUCAGCCAGUGCUGAAGGCGCCCAAAUGUCCGUGCUGGUUACCUUCGCCUUCUCACCAGGGGCCAAGAGAUUUUCAUCUCCACUUUGAGACUUCUUUCCGUUCUAUCUUGGCUAAUGAUCAGGACACAUGGACAGAAGCUCUGGAGACAUUUAUUGUACACUUGAAUUCCCCAUGGAGCUCCUUGAGUACUGCUCAGGGAAAAGUCCUUCCAAGCUACCGGUGCCUGAUUAAAUACUCCAAGAUGGGUUGCUAUAGGUGGCUUGUUCAAGCAGUCCUUCAUGGCCUCUCCACCUUUUCUUCUUCAGAGCAGUUUUUGGAUGUGCAGAAUUACCUUUCCAUGCUUGGUUCCUCUGUUUCUUUGCUUGGCCUCAUUCAUGCAUUCCAUAGGAUAACAUGCCCCUGAUUUUGUGAGACACCCUCCUCUCCUUUAUGCAUUUUGAUCUUGCUCACUUGGCCUGAGAACAGCACCAACUCCAUAAUCCAGUUUUGCAGUUGUCCACAAUAAUUUCUGUCUCCUGGUGGUGGCUGCUGUUUUGGAUACAGCCUUUUUCUCCUGCGUCUGUCCAGAGCUCUCAGAUACCUAACACUUGAUUCAAGCACUGUGUCCCUGGGACAUUAUUUGCCUAAGCCAACCCAACCCCACAGAGCAGAGCAGGGGAGGCUCGUGGCUCCCUGUGUUCAGGUGUGUCUGAGGGGUCCCAGGUCUCACCUUGACUUCUGCUUUCCCAGACUUCCACCUUUUCUAUUUUCCAGGAGUGAGUUCCCCCUACCAGGAACAAGUAUAUUAUGGUGACUGGAAGUGUUCUGGUAUCCUCUGCUGCACAUCUCUCCUUGUCCUUACCUCAACACACAUUUCACUUCAAAAACCACACUCAGCUCAUCAGACAGGAGGCACCAACCCCAACACAAACUGUCCCCACUCCUCUUCUGGCUCAUCCAAGCCCACCGAGGUGAAGGCAACUCUCUCCUGGCAAUGUCAUGAAGCUUAAGGGUGAUGAUGGCCCUGGUGAUAUCAGACUUGGAGCAAGGGAGGAGAAUUUGGGGAUGGCGCAGAGCAGAACCUACGGAUUGCAUGAAACGGCAUAUGGGAUGUUUCAUGGGAAGGGGAAAGGGAGGGGCCAGGGGAGGAAAAAGCAUAGGAAGGCAGAAGGAAAAGAGAGAAAAUGUUCUGGUGGUGUGUAGGCAGUGGCAGAUAUGCUUGCCAGCCUCAGCAGCAUGUUUCAGCACUGCAGGCUGUCCUAGACCCUCAUUAAAUCAUAUUUCUUCUGUGCAAUGAUGCUCCCUGUUCAGAGCUGCCUGCGUGAGAGUGGGGAAGAUUUUGGUAGUUCACAAGAGGAAAAGGAUGAGGAAAGUGUAAGGAUAAGGAUAAGAAUAAGGAUAAGAAUAAGGAUAAGGAAAGCCUAUACCCAUUAUACUUUGCAAGAAAAGGUAUGAGACAUCUUGUAAUUCUACAACUCAUAAUUGUGUUGGCCCUGAAGAGUGAGAGAUCUGCGUUUUGUUUGCUUUGCUUUGCUUUGGGCCUGAAGUAGAAGUACAGUGACAUUUUUGGUGCUGGGUUAGAAACCAAAAUUCUCUUCUUCUAGCCUGAAUAAUGAAAUCCUGGAGAAGGGGAAUAAGACUUCUCAUUGUAAAUAUUUAAUUUUAUCUUCCUAGUACAAUCAUCAGCUAGAUCUCUUCACAAUAUAAGGGGGAAUCUCUCAGCCCCUCUGACACUUCCCUCAAAAAGAGAAAAAACACUCACAUGCUUCCUGGGUUCUCAGAUCUGUCAGUUGCAGAUCAAAAGUCUCCUAAAGAGGCUCAUUACAUGUCAUCAAAACACUCCAUAUCUGCAAUCAGAUUCAGAUCUCAGCAGGUCCAGCUUGUUUUUACCUAAGAUAACAAAAUAGAUAACUUGACUCCCAACCAGAUCUUUUGUAUAUUCCAUAUUUCCAGGGGAUAAACAUACAAGGUUUCUCUCUGCACUGCUCCUGAGACAAAAGACAGAAUCCCCUUCAAAGAAAAUAUCCACUUUCCAUCAGGUAAUUUUCCUGGUGCACAUCUCCAUUCACUUUGGAGAAGGAGGUUUCUGAUGUGACAGAUCAAUAACUUUCAGGUUAUGAAAACUCUUCAUAAAAGAAAUCAAGUGAAAUGUUAGGUAACAAUUAUACUUGUCCACGACCUUCCCCCAGCUAUUGGAAAGCCAAGAUCAUGCUAUGCAGCUCAGAUUCAGUUAUCUGUAGUUAUCAAAUAUCCCUGUCCCAACACCCCACCUGGCAGAAAAAACACAGUUUGAGCUGUUUCUGUGCUUCCACCAUCACUUAUUUCCACCUCAGCUGUGCAAGUUAAGCAGAGACAAAAGGAAGAGGCCACAAGAUGAAUUAAGACAGGUCCAAGACAACCCCCUAAGUCUAUGGAAUCAAGGCUUUGAAAAGCAGAAAAAAAUCCCAGGGUAUCACAUUUGAAACUGUAAUUCCAAUAAGCCUUUUUUUUUUGUUUGUUUGUUUGGUUUUUUUUGGUUUUUUUUUGUUUUACUGCCUGGUUCCUGUAAACAGCACAGAUUUGCAGAGCUGCUGUGAGCUAUUGGCACUGUGGAUUUAAUUGGUACAUGCAGUCCCAUCCCAUAUCCCACAGAGUUCUCCGGAGCACUGCCUCUUCUGUAAGAUUUUUAAAGAAAUUCUGUUAAUAUCCUCUGAUCAUUUCACACCUCUCUUAUAAUACAGAGUGCAGAAGUAUCCAUAGUUUCAAUUUCUCAAGCUGCUUCACACACACUCAGAUAACACAUUUAAAUUUUGCUGUCACCCACUCCUAAUUCAUCUCAGAAAGCCUGGGGGUGGGAACUGAGGAUGAGGAAAUCAAUUCCCUGCGAGUUUGAAGCGCACACACUCUGGAACACAAACAAUUAAUUCGAGGAACCAGUACUUCUCAAAGGAACUUAAAAUCAGCAGCAGCUAAAAUGUUGAGUGUUAGUAAGAGUAAAUGCUGCUCUUGGCUUCAUCUAGUUUCUUAGAGACAGCUCUGAUGCUUCCCAGAACCAGCACCUCAGGCCACCAAACAGCUUUAGCUACAUCAUUAGUGGAGAAAUUACUCCGAAUUUUGCAGCUCUUUAGCCACUGGAUCACCAGUGCCAACUGUCUGCUUUCCUUUGCUAAUCCACAGGAUUCCUUCUAGAGAUGUGAAAUUAUAUCAAGAGGUUAUAGGUGCAUUUUUACUGCUUUAAACUAAAAUCUAAAUAACCUCCAUUGCAGCAGAAUUGUUCUCUUAUUAAUUAGUUCCACCACCUAAUAGGUAUGAUAAGUAAAGAUUUGAGGUACAUGCUAAAAAGCAUCACAAGGAAACAAAUAAAUCUUAAGCUGUAUAAAUAUAUGGGGGGGGGGGGGGAAUGUUGCAUCAGCAUCAAACUUCCACUUCAGAAAUAUCUUUUGUCUUCAUUUAAACCAGAUAAGAAUUACUGCCUGGUGUUAUUACUUAGCAUUUUAAUUAGAGCACUAUUUAAUUUUCUAAGUUGAAGGGUAUGCAAUAUACUUCUAUUCAGCAGUUUAUGAAGAUGAAGCUCCACUGGCCUUAUUGUUAAGAUAAAACAAAGACUAUCGCCUACAUUUCUGCAUGUUUAACCAUUUGCAAAUAGUUAAUCAGCCCACUGAGGCAAUGUCUGAAAUCACUGUUUGGUUUCAUAUUUUGUAUUGUACUAGGUUUGUUCUUUUUUCUUUGGUUACUACCAGAGCCAUCAAACAACAACAAAUAAACUGUGUUUCUUUUCAUUUUAAUGAUGAAAGUAGAUGAUUCAUUACUAAAAAGGAUCAAUUCAUAUUUACUAUCUGUGCUCCCAGUUUUAACCCUGCUGGAAGCUUUUAUUUCAGCAGCCCGAUGCUGACAUGCACAACCUUUUGAAAAGUGUAACUGCAAACAUAAAUUAAUGUCUAAAAAUGUAAUUAAACAUUUUAAAUUAAAAAG